rnacentral:misc_RNA from 1 species
UAAUAAGUGUUUUAUGGCACUUUUUAAAUCCAUAUCCACCUUGUGUGCAAUGUCAGUCGAUCUUCUUCAUGGAGAUCGUCCAAACAUCAACCUUUAUCUUUUAACUCUUUGUCUGAAAAAUAUUAUGAAUAAACUAAUUCAAAAUA